AAGGCCUGCAAAACUCUAAUAUGCAUCUGAUGAUUGCAACUCAACCGCUUUAAUUAAGCUAAAACCUC
rnacentral:tRNA from 1 species